CUAUGUGAGCGUGCAACUCUGGGUUGAGAGGAUGCAUAGUGAAAAGGAAAACCCAUUGCUCUUCUUUAAACACCAAGGACAACCUGACAAAAAGUGACAUUUUUUUAGAGAAAAAAAUGAGGACCUUUUGGAUGACAGAGAUUUUAUGCUAGUCAUCAUGACCACACCACAACAGGAGCUUUUCAAGAGGCUUGGAACUGAUCGUAUAUGUGUCGAUGGAACACAUGGAACAGCAGGUAAAGAUUUAAAAGAAAUAACGCCUAUAGCAAGCUCCGUUUGUUAUGGACUUCAAGCAUGGUCUAAGGCAAACGGCCUCAUCCUCAAUGAAACCAAAACAAAGUGCGUUAUUUUUCAUGCUCUGGGAAGUUCUACUACAUUGCCAGAUAAUAUUGUGUGGGGUCUGUAUAAAAUUAACCUUACGUCAUCCAUAAAAACCCUAGGCAUAAUACUCGCAGAGCAUAUGUCCUGGAAUGAACACGUUAGUCAUGUUUGCUCAAAGGUACGAAAAGUUGUUGGUGUGUUAAAUUGCAAUUGAAGUGCAUUACAUUUUCAAGUUAAGUGUCUCAUUUAUCAUGCUCUUCUCCAUUCACACCUCAGUUACUGUUCACUUAUAUGGGGUAACACUACAGCGCUAAAUAUUCAAAUGCUGGAAAUACUUCAAAAGAAAGCAAUUCGGGCAAUAGCGAACGUUUCUUUUUUCGAGCAUACGCAAGAGCUUUUCCAACAAAACAGAAUAAUCAGAGCCUGUGACACAUAUAAAUUCAAAACAUUACUAAGCUAUAGAAAUGCUAUGCUGGGAAAACUCGAUUCAUUCCUAGCCCCGGCAACUCUACAACAAAAUAGAAGUGCAUAUUCAUAUCGUCACCAGGCACCAUGGCAGAUCCCUUUCUCACGUACUAAUUAUGGCUGCCAAUGCCUUAAACAUACACUACCGUCCCUACUUAACUAUUUUAACCAACAACAUGUUGAUGUGUUAUCUCUAAACAAAACUAAAAUAUUGGAUUUGUUCUUAUAGAUGUGUAUUGUUAACUGCUCCAACAGUUCCGCAGAACUUAUCAUAUAUUCUCAUUUUGUUUAUACCUUCACACUUGUAACUACUAUUCCUAGAAUCCGGGUUUCCGCUGCAGUGAUUGUGCCCGAACCACGUGGCAGGGUUUCGUGUUGUAAACUGGAUGCUGCAAAGGGCGUCUUCGCGUUUGUUAAAAUUCAAGGAUGUGAUGACGCCCUGGGCUACGUUGCCGUGAUGUCUGUCGCGAAAGCAGCAGCCUAUAUGCAGAUUUUUUUUUUAUGUUUUUUAACAUAGAUGCACAUAUAUAUUUGCAAGUAUGUAAAAUAAUUUCUGAAAAGAGAAUGUUUCCUGAUGGUAACUUAACUUGUGUUUAUUGUAAACUUCUGUGAAAUUUGUUAUAUUUAUAUAUGUAUGUGUGUGUAUGUAUAUAUAUGCUUUUGCAUUCUUAUUUAUUUAUUUAUUUUACAAUACUGCAGGCCAUCGUCGGGCCCAUGCAGGAGUGGUUACAACAUGGAAUACAGUACAAAAAAAGAAUAAAGUGAAACUAGUGUAUCCAAAACAAAGAGCAUUAGCACACACAAAAAAGAACACACUCAAUAAAUAUAUACACUGUUUAAAUGAGCCGUCUGGGAAGCAGGAGAAACAGCGUUUACCAUAAGAAUGCAUCUACAGAGGCUGCAUAUGAAAUACAGGUAAUAUCACCAUUCGAAUUCCAGAUUCUCAAUACUGUCAAUAAUUGCGUUGGCAGAUGGGCAAUUUACGGCUCUAGAGGGUAGUAUGUUCCAAUGGGAAAUGGCGUGUGGGAAUAAAGAGUACUUGUGAGUGUUAUUAUGGC